GUCUAUGGCCAUACCACCCUGAGUGUGCCUGAUCUCAUCUGAUCUCAGAAGCUAAGCAGGGUUGGGCCUGGUUAGCACUUGGAUGGGAGAUGACCUGGGAACGCUGAGUGCUGCAGGCU
rnacentral:rRNA from 1 species